rnacentral:rRNA from 1 species
CAGUCGCCGCGGGAAUACGUAGGGUGCGAGCGUUAAUCGGAAUUACUGGGCGUAAAGCGUGCGCAGGCGGUUCGUUAAGACAGAUGUGAAAUCCCCGGGCUUAACCUGGGAACUGCAUUUGUGACUGGCGAGCUAGAGUAUGGCAGAGGGGGGUAGAAUUCCACGUGUAGCAGUGAAAUGCGUAGAGAUGUGGAGGAAUACCGAUGGCGAAGGCAGCCCCCUGGGCCAAUACUGACGCUCAUGCACGAAAGCGUGGGGAGCAAACAGGAUUAGAUACCCCGGUAGUCCCUGUCUCUUAUAU